rnacentral:rRNA from 1 species
GUGGGUAGUUUGACUGGGGCGGUCUCCUCCUAAAGAGUAACGGAGGAGCACGAAGGUUGGCUAAUCCUGGUCGGACAUCAGGAGGUUAGUGCAAUGGCAUAAGCCAGCUUGACUGCGAGCGUGACGGCGCGAGCAGGUGCGAAAGCAGGUCAUAGUGAUCCGGUGGUUCUGAAUGGAAGGGCCAUCGCUCAACGGAUAAAAGGUACUCCGGGGAUAACAGGCUGAUACCGCCCAAGAGUUCAUAUCGACGGCGGUGUUUGGCACCUCGAUGUCGGCUCAUCACAUCCUGGGGCUGAAGUAGGUCCCAAGGGUAUGGCUGUUCGCCAUUUAAAGUGGUACGCGAGCUGGGUUUAGAACGUCGUGAGACAGUUCGGUCCCUAUCUGCCGUGGGCGCUGGAGAACUGAGGGGGGCUGCUCCUAGUACGAGAGGACCGGAGUGGACGCAUCACUGGUGUUCGGGUUGUCAUGCCAAUGGCACUGCCCGGUAGCUAAAUGCGGAAGAGAUAAGUGC